AGGGCGUGUGAGGCUGUUUGUUUAGGUCAGAGGGAGUUGCAUGCAUUGAGGUGGCCCCUGCUCGCCCAGCUGCCUCCCAGGUGGCCUGUCGAUGCAGCCCCCUGAGCUGGUGGCGUGGGUUCAUUCACAGGUUCUCCGGGCACAUCCCCAAACCCAGGAGCCUGCCAGAGAUGAGAAUUAGAAAAGAUGAGAUGCUGCAAACACAGCUCUGCUUCCUCAGCAUUGGCUCUCAUCCUGGAAGUAUAUCCUCUUACGGGUUCAAAAUGUCUGCUAGCACAUAAUGGGGCCACAUGCUCGCAUUCAAGCCCUGCAGGGAAGAAGACUGGAUCUCCACAUGCCUGUCUUGGCUUCUGUUGUCACGUCUCCUCUGAUUCUGAUCCUCCUGCUUCCCUCGUGACUACGUGGACCCACCUGGAUAAUUCAGGACAAUCUCUCCAUCUCAAGGUCCUUAACUUAAUUACACCUACAAAGUUCCUUUCGGCAGCAAUUUUUUCCCUCUCACUUGCUCACCUGAUGAAGUCAGCGCCUAUGUUGUGAGCUACCUUAUGGGGAGGCCAAGGACUCAUGAGAAACAGAGGUCCUCAGUUCAACAGGCCCCAAGGAGCUGAAUCCUGCCAACAACAAAAUGAGUGAGCAUUGAAAUGGACUCUUCCUCAGUUAAGCCUUGAGAUGGCUGCAGCUGUGUAGAAACCCAGAACCAGAGGAGCCACCUGAACUGUGCCAAAUUCCUAAACUAUAGAAACUAUCAGAUUAAAAUAUGCUGUUCUAAGCCACUAAGUUUUGGAGUAAUUUGUUACCAACAGACAACUAAUACAGUAUCCUAUCUAAAAGAUCAGUUUCAACCACAGCCUUGCUCCAUUUUUUUUUAUGCUUGGAGGGUGGACAAGUCACCAAGGUUGCACAACUUUGUUAAGAACUAAGAUUA
rnacentral:lncRNA from 1 species